CUGAAAUGGGUACACAGAGGACAAAUGAAAAUUAACAUGGAAAAGUGUGAACUAAUUUAUUUGGGAUCAAAAAUGCUCCCGACCUGUUAUGUGUUUCCAGCACUUUUUUGAUUUUGUUACAAAUGGACUCUUCCUAGAUUGAAGUGAAAUCGAUAAGCUCCAACAGUAAUGCUAUGAUCAAUCAACAGGAAACAUAGGACUGACGAACCAAUAAACAGAAGGAUGAAACUUAAACUUCAUUAAAUCCACUUAGAUGAAUUCAACAAGUAAAUUCUGAAUCACUGGACUCUAACUGUAUCAGUUCAAUUGAAG